GUCUCUUUGAAAGAAGUGUAUAAAGAGUCUGGCCUGCCCGGUGACAUAGUUUAACGGCUGCAGUAUCCUGACUGUGCAAAGGUAGCAUAAUAACUUGCCUUUUAAUUGGAGGAUAGAAUCAACGGCUUAACGAAAGCAAAACUGUCUUUUUUAUUUUUAUUAGAAAUUAUCUUUUAGGUUAAAAGGCCUAGAUGCAACUAAGGGACGAUAAGACCCUAUUGAGCUUUAAAAAAAUAAAAUAAUUGCUUGUUUAUUAAUAAAAUUAACAAUAAUUUUAAUAAUUUUGGUUGGGGCGACUGCGGGGUAUAAAAAACCUCCGUUUUAAAAAAAUAAUUUGUAUUUUCGAUCCAUAAUUUAUGACAAGACGAAUUAGUUACCAUAGGGAUAACAGCGCACCGCUUUUAGGAAGAUCCUAUUUCUAAAAGAGAUUGCGACCUCGAUGUUGGAUUAAGGUAUACUGGAAGGUGCAGGUGCUUUUCAAGUUAGUCUGUUCGACUAUUAAAUCUUU
rnacentral:rRNA from 1 species